rnacentral:lncRNA from 1 species
AUAUAUAUAUAUAUAUAUAGAGUCCGGCUACUAUGCCAUCGGUAGUACGGAGCGUUCCGUGCUACCAAGUUGUUUUCGAUGAUGCGGCUUCCAAAUCGGCGAUCGGCUCCGUUAGACUUGAUCUACACUAUUGAAAGUAUUUGGAAACUAAAUUUUAGAUUUUUUCGACAUCAUUUGACUAGUGAUCAAAAGAUCUCAAAAUUGACAAUUUUAAUGGCCGAUGUGGCGUGUUUGUG